rnacentral:rRNA from 1 species
UACGUAGGGUGCAAGCGUUAAUCGGAAUUACUGGGCGUAAAGCGUGCGCAGGCGGUUUUGUAAGUCUGAUGUGAAAUCCCCGGGCUCAACCUGGGAAUUGCAUUGGAGACUGCAAGGCCAGAAUCUGGCAGAGGGGGGUAGAAUUCCACGUGUAGCAGUGAAAUGCGUAGAGAUGUGGAGGAACACCGAUGGCGAAGGCAGCCCCCUGGGUCAAGAUUGACGCUCAUGCACGAAAGCGUGGGGAGCAAACAGG